rnacentral:rRNA from 1 species
UACAGAGGUGGCAAGCGUUGUUCGGAAUUACUGGGCGUAAAGAGCUUGUAGGCGGUUUGUCGCGUCUGCUGUGAAAUUUCGGGGCUCAACCCCGAACUUGCAGUGGGUACGGGCAGACUAGAGUGUGGUAGGGGAGACUGGAAUUCCUGGUGUAGCGGUGAAAUGCGCAGAUAUCAGGAGGAACACCGAUGGCGAAGGCAGGUCUCUGGGCCAUAACUGACGCUGAGACGCGAAAGCGUGGGGAGCAAACAGG